rnacentral:rRNA from 1 species
ACGGAAGGCAGCAGUGGGGGAUAUUGCACAAUGGGGGAAACCCUGAUGCAGCGACGCCGCGUGAGUGAUGAAGUAUUUCGGUAUGUAAAGCUCUAUCAGCAGGGAAGAAAAUGACGGUACCUGACUAAGAAGCUCCGGCUAAAUACGUGCCAGCAGCCGCGGUAAUACGUAUGGGGCAAGCGUUAUCCGGAUUUACUGGGUGUAAAGGGAGCGCAGGCGGUAACGCAAGCCAGAGGUGAAAACCCGGGGCUCAACCCCGAGGAUUGCCUUUGGAACUGUGGAACUGGAGUGCUGGAGGGGCAGGCGGAAUUCCUGGUGUAGCGGUGAAAUGCGUAGAUAUCAGGAGGAACACCGGUGGCGAAGGCGGCCUGCUGGACAGUAACUGACGCUGAGGCUCGAAAGCGUGGGGAGCAAACAGGAUUAGAUACCCUGGUA